UGGGGUGGGGUCAGCAGAAGCGGGGAGGGGAGAGACAGAGUGGGGCGGGGCGGAGAGAGAGAGAGAGAGAGAGAGAGAGAGAGAGAGAGAGAGAGAGAGAGAGAGAGAGAGAGAGAGGCACGGCGGAAUAGGGACUUAACAGGAAGGGAGCUCGAGUGGGGGAGGCAGGGAGUAAGAGGGAGGGAGGGAGCUAUACGCAAGUUAAGCGUCUGCGCGGAGAUGUGUGUGUGGUGUCGUGGUGUGGGCUGGCGUUCACAGUGCUGGCACAAGUUGUAAACACACGGUGUGGAGCGGGCGGACAGAAGCACAGCUACCCGCGCUGUGCGACCGCGACCGCAGCCGUGCAGCGUCUUCCCUUUUCGUCUUCUUAAGAGUCACCCUCUCGGCUAGAGCGUCCCCUCUCCCCCCUCUCCCUCAGGCCAGCCUCGCGUCCCAGCAGUGGGCCAGUGUAGCGCCAGUCGGGAGACGCUGCUACGGGAAGUGUGGUGUACGGCACGGCGGCUGUGUGGCGCGUGGGUCAGGUGUGAGGGCUGCUCUCCCUGCCGCUCCCAUUGAUCUGACCGGACUAUUGCCUGUUGCUCCGCGCCAACGGGCCAGACACGCUCGUUGUUUCAACAAGUUGACGCAUAAAACUAGAUACUGUCCAUAAUGACGCAAGGGCCCAAGGUCUGGGCGUCCGGCGCACGGGGCAGUCUCGGCACCUGAGCAGAGGCGUGGUGCGUGCGUGGCCUGUACCUGCCGUGAAGGACGGCCGUGUGUGGCGAGGCAGUAACGGGAGAAUAAUGCCAAAGUGAGUGUUGCUGAUCCGCUCCACGAGGUGCACGUUUCUACACAACACAGUGACGUUCUGUUCAUAUAGUACUCACAGAAAAGAGUACGCGUGUAAGUGUUUGCUUUUUAGUGAUCAGCUUCGAGUGGAGACAGAGCGAGAGGAAAGUCACGUAUAUCCAAGCAUCCCUUUCCGUCCACAAGGCGAGGAGGCAGCCCUGCGCCCCACAACUGUUCCAUUCUGACGCUCAUCCUCCUGCCGUGGGAGGUACGUAUCGUAUGACCUUGGGUUCUACUAGCGAGGUUAUGCGAGUGGUGUGUGUCUGAGCCAUAAAGGAGACAGACUCUCCCUCCACCUGUCCUGCGGCGCUAGUGGGUCUUGCCUCUUCUCUCUUCGUGGUUUUUUGGUGUCAUUUAUUAGUCUUUUUUUUUCCCCUCAGUUAUUUUUCACUUGGUCGUGGUUUGUAGUUGUGUGGCUCCUUGGCUUUACAUUUUUCUGCCUUGAUCUUUUGGUCUUUGGCGUUGAGUCUUGGCGUAAAUGGUUUAUUUAUUCUGCUUGCUUUAAUCAGUUCCUUCUCACUAGAUUUAUCGUAUGGCUGCUGCUCAGGUCAUCAUUAGGGUUCUCCUGCCUCUAAUUCCCAAUGAAAAAAAAAAAACAUACGAAUAAUCGAUUCUUUGUACUUUUUUUAUUUAUAUUUAUUUAUUUACUGAUUUUAUUUUAGCUCCCUCAGUAAUGUGUAAGUAACGUGAAGCUCAAAGGCAGCGUGCAAUGCAGCACUAGAUUACGUCCUGAGCUGGUGCACCUGGGAGCGUCACGCACUUCACAUUUAAACAGUGUAACAAUGAAGCCGUGUAUUUACUAUGAAUGCAUCAAAUAAAAUAGGUACAAAAUUAAUAUAAUAAAGCCUUCCGCGGAAGUGUCAGCCGCCGUGAGUGAGCACCGCCGCCGUGUUGUUGGUGCUGUACCAGGUGUUCCGUGCGACUGCCACUCCGUCACGCGUCACGACUCCCAGAAUAGGAACCUACCGCGGCUGCCUGUCACUGCCAUGGAAAAUCGAACUUUAUUAUUUGACGUAACUUUUUUGUAUUCGUUUUCUAACUUCACUCAACCAGAUGUCUUUUUUUUUUUCUUCUUUUUCUGUUCGUCAUAUGUCAAUGGAAACAGAUUUAAUUUGAUAUAUUUUCAUGGUGCACGUCACCACACUGGGUCCAGUGCGGCACGUGUGAAUUCCUGGCUGGUCAGCAUCACUAUACUGUGCACACUUCACGGCAACAGUUGCAGCCUCUCCGCCAGCCCUCGAGAAUAAUUAACCCGAGACUCUGAAGCAGCAGACUCAGGUGUAAGUGGAACAAGGCGUCCUGCAGCCCUGUGCGAGCGAAACUGCAAUACUAUUAUGUUAGCAAUUCGGCCUCUGGAUGUAGCUAUUAGGGUUCGCACAGAGGUAGAGACUUUAGCUUGGUCGUGAAAAUCCUUGAGAGACACCAUUAUGUGAGCAUGUAAAGGCGAACAUUUUGUCCCAGCUUCAACACACUGAGAAAAGUGAAGCUCCUUUGGUGAAGAAAGAAGAAAACUUCUAUGAGUCUUGGUGUGCAUAUUAUAUCAACUAAGACAUGACCUUCCCUGACGAAGGAAUAAAUAUUUCCUCAAGUGUGGAAGUCUUAGUUGGUAGACAUUCAUGUGCGAGCUGGCCGAAAGGCAUCACAUUGUUGUAAAUAGCUUUUCUAGAUUUCUUUUUCGUUCUAGGCAGGAAUAGGGAUCAGGUAGUACGUAGUAGGGAAGUAAUGUAGGCAAGGAUUUCCUAGUGAGCAUUACGAGGUUGUGCAGAUGUCCUCGGCGGGGGCGGACUGCGUAAGGGUGGGGGGGUUGAGUGAAGGACACUGCAUGGAGCCAGUGCUCGGUGAAUGUCCUCCGUAACUUCACCGUUUUUUUUUUAAUACUGCGAUAAAAAUUAAUGUGUCUGUAAAUCCAAACCCCCUUGCAGUAAGCGACUAUGCUUUAUCGAGAGAAAAUAAAAAUAGUUGCCGGCAAAGCAUUCGCAGGUAUAGUGUUUUCAUCCGUUUACGCCUGUGUAGCACUGCCUGCCAUCCGCCACCAUCCGUCAACACUCUACACCAAGGUCUGCACGUGAUUGACCUUUAGAUUCCACGUCCACGUGUACUGGGUGGUGCCAUCGCCGAACAGUCUUCGGGGAAUAUGUGAAAAUGUAAGAAAGUACAUCACAAAGUUAUUCCCAAAAAUUUACUCAACAGUUAAUACCAUGAAUGCUUUACUAUAACGAGCACGAAACAUGUGAGUGAUGAAAUAUGAACCUGCCCCACGUUUCUUCCCAUCUCCCCGAGCCGCCUUAGACCUUGCAAGUCUCUCUGCUGCCUUGCUCCCGAUCCGGCGGUAAACACGGGGUGAAGCAGCGCAAUUCUGAAGAACAACUUUUUUUUUGAAAACAUAUUUUAUGAUGAAAUAAAUGGUUUUAUAUCUUAUUAUUUUCUUACUUCCUGACAUUUGCAUUGAGUGAAACAUACCCGUUUGCAAGUUCUUAGAUUCGUGUUAUAUUUCUUCCUCCCAAGCUUCUCCUCCAGUCCUUCUCGAGUCGCCCUCUGCUACCACUCACGUGACACCAGCCAGCGUGGCCUCGCACUCAUCCUCCACGGCAAUACUGGCUCAAGUUUGCCAGGAAGUUUGGUCGCGGAAACCGAUAUUCCUGUGGUCUGCCUUGGCGGCUUUCCACUAAGUCUCCUGGGACAUUCAGGAAGAUCAGACCAUCAUCACCUCCUGCAGGUAACAUCACAAUACACACAAGAGUCCGAAGGCCUCCAGAGAACUUUGCUUUUCCAAUUAUGCCUCACGAGUGUGUAAGACAGGACAGGCAACGCAUCACCCUUCCACUCACUGAGUGGCUAACAUACUUGGUCCCGACAUCCACGAAAUGCAAACUGCAGCAGUGGCAGGACAGCAACUCUCGCUUGUGUUAUUAGCAAGCAACUCCUACUGGCAGAGGGAGGGGGUGGGGGGAGGGGAACUUAAUCCUUGCUGAUGGUGAGCGUUGGGCCGGCACCAAUGUAAACAAAGCGACUGGAGGGGGAGGAGGACCAGGCGGAGGGAAGCAAGGGAGGGGCGAAGAAAGAAAGACGAGGGGGAGUGAAGGCGGUUUAUAAAGGUAAACACAAGGCUGACGAGGGGAAGGGACGCCACCACUGCCACCGACGCCUCCUUGCCCUCGUCGUCUCAGUUCACGAUGGCUAUUGAUCUUUACUCCAGCUGAUUAGGGAUUCUUUCCGAGUACACGGGACCUGGAAGAAUCGCCUCCCUCCUCUCGCUCCCUUCCCCUUCGCCCCCUGGCCGGGAUUGGCUGAAGGAACCCAACGUCAGGUGCCAAACGCCUCUGGGUCUUGGUGCAUUCACUGGAUGAAUAAUGCACGUGAUGAGUCCAAGUUGAAACCCCUUCCUAAAAAUGGUUGAAACUUUAACGGUGUAGUUUUGAAAGAUCCUUGAAAUCGCUACAGACUUUUAGUCGUGCACACACACACACACACACACACACACACACACACACACACACACACACACACACACACACACACACACACACACACACACACACACACACAAACACACACACACACACACACACACACACACACACACACACACACACAAA